GUUUAUUGUGAAGCAGAAAAUAUCUGCGGACACCAUGAAUGGAGCGGAUUAUCUGCAGCAGCACAGCGCCGAGAGUCUGUCCUUCGAAGAGAUGCAGCAGAUUAACCCGCUCGGAGUCCAUCAGCAGCAGAAAGACGAGGGCAGCCAAACCUCCGUGAUGUGUUUGGGAUCGUUCUCCUGCGGAAACAUCCAACCAUGUCCAAGCUUGAACCAUCAAGCUGUUGAUCUGAUGUGAAGUUGAGGGAUUUGGAGAGAGCAAAGGGAACCAGAGUCAGAUUCCUCAUCUGUAUGCACAAACUCGGCCAAAUAAAGAUGACUCUGAAUCUGAACAGGCUUUGAUCCUGACAACUUAAGACAUACAUUACAGCAUCACUCAUUAAAAGGCCAGAAUCACCAUGGUGUUCAUGCCCUUGAUGAGUGGAUGGAAACUUCUGACCAGAACUGUAACCAUAGCAGUGUUUUCUUCUGACUGAACACUCAAAUUACUUUUUACUUGCUUUACAAGCCACAUUCACACAUUUACACACCACUUCUUACUGUGUGCCUUUGUGUGUCUGUGGAGCAGGGCAUCAAAUUAGCUCCACUUUUAAGGUGCAGCAGUCUAAGCACAGAAGCCCACG
ensembl:lncRNA